rnacentral:rRNA from 1 species
UUGGAGGGCAAGUCUGGUGCCCGCAGCCGCGGUAAUUCCAGCUCCAAUAGCGUAUAUUAAAGUUGUUGCAGUUAAAAAGCUCGUAGUUGAACUUCAGACCUGACCGGGCGGUCCGCCUAACGGUGUGUACUGUCUGGCCGGGCCUUACCUCUUGGUGAGCCGGCAUGCCCUUCACUGGGUGCGUCGGGGAACCAGGACCUUUACCUUGAGAAAAUUAGAGUGUUCAAAGCAGGCUUACGCCGGAAUACAUUAGCAUGGAAUAAUAAAAUAGGACGUGCGGUU